AGUUUUUAGGAGUAAAGCUUUAUAUCUUUUCGAUAUAGUUUACUUUAUGAUUAAAUUAUUUUAAAAUUAUCAAUUUUCAAUGGCUAAUAUAGCGAGUUUGUAGUUUAACAGUGUGGAAGAAUCUAAAUUUGUUCAAAUUUCGAUAGAAAAUGCUUUAAACUAUCUAGAUCAAGAUCAACAUCCUUGAUUUUGAAUUUAAAAAUUUUAUCCUCAAAUUUUAAUGAUUGUUCAAUUAAUUUCAACCAUUUAUUUUAACAUGAUCUACUUACUAAGUAAACGAUGUCGAUAAAAAUUAAAAUUUUAUUUCUAAAAACUUAUAUACCCUAGAUUAUAUUUACAGUGUGGAUCGUUAAUUUGAAUAUCCUAAGAUCGAAAACAAGACUAUAGUACCAGAGCUCCGGUGCUCCGAUAUUAUAGAUAGUAUAGUAGCCUAAUACGUAUAAAAACAACUA
rnacentral:lncRNA from 1 species